GGCAUCUCUUCUUUGGAGCUUGCUAUAAACUACACAGUGUCUUUCCCACCACAGAUAGUUUUGGUACUAUAGGAUUGGCCAGGCUGAACGGAUGAGGCACAGAACUGUUUACAUCAUAGCCUAGAGCCUGCUGCAGUUUCUCCUAGAUUUACAACUGUCAGCUUAUGAUCUUCAUUAAAAGGAAUGUAGCAGUAUUCUCAAAUACGUUACCAUGUCAUCAGUAUGUGGAUGAAUUUGAUGUUCUACAGAUGUCCAGAUCAUUCAGGUUCCUUCAAACUACAUCAUGACUGAAAGUCGAAGAGUGAACACUGACCUGUGGGAAGAUCCCAACUAAAUAUAUACUAUUCUCCA